CUUGAUAUUUAUAGCGCAGUAGAACCACUCCAAUCCAUCUCGAACUUGGUUGUGAAAUGCUGUAGCGGCGAUGAUACUGAAAAGGAGGCUUUUUGGGAAAGUAGUUCAAUGUCAAG
rnacentral:rRNA from 1 species